UACGAAGGGGGCUAGCGUUGCUCGGAAUCACUGGGCGUAAAGGGUGCGUAGGCGGGUUUUUAAGUCAGAGGUGAAAUCCUGGAGCUCAACUCCAGAACUGCCUUUGAUACUGAAGAUCUUGAGUUCGGGAGAGGUGAGUGGAACUGCGAGUGUAGAGGUGAAAUUCGUAGAUAUUCGCAAGAACACCAGUGGCGAAGGCGGCUCACUGGCCCGGAACUGACGCUGAGGUGCGAAAGCGUGGGGAGCAAACAGG
rnacentral:rRNA from 1 species